rnacentral:rRNA from 1 species
UUUCCAGACUCCUACGGGAGGCAGCAGUGAGGAAUAUUGGUCAAUGGGCGCAAGCCUGAACCAGCCAAGUCGCGUGAGGGAAGACGGCCCUACGGGUUGUAAACCUCUUUUGCCGGGGAGCAAGCCUGAGCACGUGUGCCCAGGCGGAGAGUACCCGGAGAAAAAGCAUCGGCUAACUCCGUGCCAGCAACCGCGGUAAUACGGAGGAUGCGAGCGUUAUCCGGAUUUAUUGGGUUUAAAGGGUGCGCAGGCGGAAUGUCAAGUCAGCGGUAAAAUUUCGGGGCUCAACCCCGUCGUGCCGUUGAAACUGGCGUUCUUGAGUGAGCGAGAAGUAUGCGGAAUGCGUGGUGUAGCGGUGAAAUGCAUAGAUAUCACGCAGAACUCCGAUUGCGAAGGCAGCAUACCGGCGCUCAACUGACGCUCAUGCACGAAAGCGUGGGUAUCGAACAGGAUUAGAUACCCCUGUAACA